GGACCCAUAGCUCAGCGGUAGAGCAUCUGAUUCCAGCUUAAAUUGCCUCCAGAAGGUCAUCCGUUCAAAUCGGGUUGGGUUCA
rnacentral:tRNA from 1 species